AAAGCGGUCGCAGUAGAAGGACCCAUGGAGUAAAGCUGUGAUUCUGUGAAGUAGCGGUGGUGCACAACAAAACCCUCCUAAAACCCUCGCCUUGCCCAAACAACACGCCCACCGUGCAGAGCACAGCUUACAAAAUCAAAAUAGGGGAGGCUCUUCGAAUUUCGAGAGCACAGCUUACAAAAUCCAAAUAAGUCCAACCAAAUGCAAUUCAUCUUCCGCUCUCUCCCAGAGCGAUUCUCUCUGUCCCACUUCGACCGCCGCCGGACCUUCGUGGAUACCCCUUUCAAAUGGGCCCGAGACCGCGGCCUCGACCACGUCGUGGAGAGAGAGAAGAACCUCAGGCCUUUGCUCAACCUCAAAAACUUCAUCAAAUCCGAGCCCUCUAAGUCCGUCCCUGUCUCCAUCAUCACGCAGAACCGCGACUCCCUCCAGAUCCCCGUCCGCUCAAUCGACUUCAUCCGCAAAUACCCUUCCAUUUUCGAAGAAUUCCUCCCUGGCGGCAUCGGCAUCCACCCCCACAUCCGGCUUACUCCCGAAGUCCUCAACCUCGACGCCGAGGAGCAGUUGGUUUAUCAGAGCGAGACUUAUAAGAAACAGGCCGCCGACCGGGUUUUGAAGCUCUUGAUGAUAUCCAGGGCCAACAAAAUACCGCUGAGUAUUGUCGAGCGCUUGAAAUGGGAUCUGGGUCUUCCGCGGGAUUAUGAAAAAACUAUCUUCCCCGAGUUCCCGGACUAUUUUCAAAUCGUAGGUGACAGAGAUUCUUCAAAAGGGUCGGAGGAUAGGCGUGUUUUGGAGCUCGUUUGUUGGAGCAAUGAGCUUGCGACUUCGGUUAUGGAGAAAAUGGCAACGAAAGGGAAAUUGGAUUAUGAAAAGGGAAUGGCUAUAGCGUUCCCUUUGCAAUUUUCGAGAGGUUUUGAGAUGGAUAAGAAGUUGAAGAAGUGGGAGGAUGAGUGGCAGAAGUUGCCUUACAUUUCUCCAUACGAGAAUGCGUCUCACUUGCUGCCAAAGAGCGACGAAUCGGAUAAGUGGGCUGUUGCGGUUUUGCACGAGCUUCUUCAUAUUCUCGUUUCUAAGAAGACGGAGAAGGACAAUAUACUGCACCUUGGAGAGUAUUUGGGGCUUCGGUCGAGGUUUAAGAGAGCACUGCUUCAUCACCCUGGUAUAUUCUAUUUGUCGAGUAAGAUUGGAACCUACACUGUGGUUUUGAAGGAGGGUUACAAGAGGGGCCUGUUAGUUGAGAAUCAUCCAUUGAUGAUUAUGAGGAAUCGGUAUAUUCACCUUAUGAACACGGUGAAGGAAGAUAGCAAACAGAUUAAUAUACCGGCUGGAAAUAGUCGAAAGAAAAAGCCGACAGUUCAUGAUGAGAAGGGAAAAGAGGACGAAGAGAAUGAUGACAAAAGUGGAGAGGAUGAUGAACAGGAGCUGGAUGAUUCAUCGGAUGCUGAGGUUGAGGAUGCUAGUGAACAUGAAUAUGAUAAUGAUGAUCGCGAUGAAGAGGAUGAAAAUGAGAGUCGCAGAGGUUUUCAAAAACAUGUUGUGGAUAACAGAGGAAAGAAAGGCAGGAAAACAAUAUUGGGUGAGAAGGGACCAUGGAGAAAAUCUGAGAGCAAAAGGGAAGUUGGAAAACAACCUGUUAAGACAAGGGAAAAAGCUCCAUCGAAAGUUCAUAGAAGGGCAAAGAUGCAUGGUGGUAAUAAUGUCCGGGGCAGUUCACGAGAACGAUCAAUUUUACCUAAAAGCAGAGAGAGGUCAUUGCCAGACAAGAGGACUUUUACUCAGUAAAGAUUCAUAUUAUUUGCUGCAACAAUAGAUCAGCAGGUUUGCUGCAUGUUCAUGAUCUCCUUUGUUGCGAGUUCGCAAAUUUGAGUUAGAUUGUCAUAUCUGUAGUAGGAAUGAUAGAAGUUUUCUUGCAGUAAAAGGUGCAUUCUACACACCCAUUUGUGCUGAAAUGUUGUACUCAUGUAAUAUGCCUUCCCAUGUUAUGGCUAUCUUUUGAUUACUUAAAAAAAUGUCAUGACCCUCGUAUUUGUGAGAUACAGACGAUUUUAAAUUGAGCCCUACAUCCCCCAAAACAUUUCACUCUGUUCCUCACUUUCUCGAGAAACCUGCCUUCUAAGGCCAUGUGUUCUCGAAUCUAAAAGGGCUCUUUUCUCUCCUCAAAGCCAACGAAAUCCUUUACAAUAGCAGAAUGGUCAUAGACAAGUCCUAGGAAGUGCUUGUUGCACAGAAUUAGUAAAUUAGUCUUUCCACUCUACUGAAGCACAAGGCUGAUCAGUGCGAGAACGAGACAUAGACAGCAUGCCUUGAUCUUUAAUCUGGGUACUUCUUUCGGCCCUCUCGAAUCCUGGAAUAUGUGAUUAAGCUUCUGGUAUCACCAAUAAAUUCCUUGUCUUCAUCAAGGACUCUCUAGAAGUAAUGGAUAAUCCACAGGAUUUACCUCUGGAAAUAUAUCAGAAAAGGACAUCAUGUGGAGAUGGAGAAAGUGUGAGCAAAUCAGAAGUCAACAAUGAGCAAAGCAAUGGAGGCUUCUAAAGUCUAUCGGAGUUUACCAGCUUUCAAGGGUUUAUUGACAUUAGAAAAGGCAGGUUGUGCAUAUUUGAGGUUUAAACGAGCGCUCUUGCGUAGUUUUUUUUCCUUUUCUUAUUGAUUUUAUUGAUUGAUUGUACAUGGGUGUUGCUCCCACCUGGUUUGUGAGCUUUGAAACGAGUUUGUGAGUUUGUGCGGAGGAGCAAGGUGUAAAGUGCACAAUCUUGAUGUUAUUCUUCUUUUUCCUUUUUUUCCCAAGGGAAGAGGAUAUGAUAGAUUCCCAACUGGGAUGAUAGAAUUUCUGUUCAUUUUGGAACGGACUUUGGUGGUAUUUCGAUUGAAAGGUGGCUCGCUUACUUGGUCUAA